CCGGAAUGAAAGCCAACUGUUUUAUCAAGGUCGUUUUUUUCCAACUGCCUCUGACAGCCUCUGAUCUCCUGAAUGUGCUAUGCCAGGAAGAGCCAACUCCGAUAUUCCAAGCGUGCCUCAUCGUAAGAGAAAGGAGAUGUUACAGUUGUUUACAAGACUUUGCUUUAAAGGUCCUCGUGACAGGUCUGUUCUAAAUAAAGCGUCUCUUUUGCUUUUCAAAAUCGUUUGCAUGCACUUUUUCAGGAAUGAGUUUCCAUACGAUGUGCUGCUUGGACACUAGAAGUUAUCCUUGUACAGGAACUCCGAGGCGACUUGAAGGACACAUGUCCCUGCUGAGCCCUUGCCGCUCAGAGAUAAAAUCCCCACAGGUGAGCAUUGUCCUGCCCUCCUUUUCUGGCCAGAACUCUCGGUCCUGAUCCUGUCAGGUGCUUCUCUGAGGUCUGGGAACUGGUAGAGAGGUGAGAUGCGGCUAGAGGCCUGGUGUCAUGCAAGGAACCAGGCCAGCCUUGGGCUUGAUUAUCCCGAGGACCAAGCCCACACCCGCCAUGGACUGGAUUUGAGAACGUGAGUCUUUAAUGCUUGUGAGGUGUGGUUAUCUUACUAGGAAGACAGAGCCAGUCACACAUACUUCACAGGGUUCUGGUCAAGAUUAAAUUCUUCCCUUCCCUCCCAAUCCUCAGUUAGGUUUGCAUAACUGCUGUCCUGUUCAGGCUUCAGUCCGCAGCUGAGAUGUCACCUCUUCCAGAAAUCUUCCCUGUGUCUGGGUAGGAAUCCUCCUACGGUCCCUGAGAUCACUCUUUUCUCUGCCAUAGUGCUUUUCAUGCCAUAUCACAUUGUGUCUCUUACCCAUUAAACAGUAAGCUCUGUGAGGACAGGAAACAGAUAUAUCUUGCUUAUCUGAUGCACGUCAUAGUGUUGGGUACAUGGUCAGUUCUUGAUGCUUGUGGAAUGGAAUUGAAUUAAAGGUUAGUGUACAUGUGGCUAUGGUGGUAGCUCUUUUCCUAUCCUUGUUCUUUCUUUCUCUCUUCCUUUCUCUCUUUCUUUCUUUCUUUCUUUCUUUCUUUCUUUCUUUCUUUCUUUCUUUCUUUCAGUUUAUUUAUUGAUUUUGAGAGAGCAUGCAUGAGAGAGAGAGAGAGAGAAGAGGAGGAGGGACAGAAAGAGAGAUGGAGAGAGAAUCCUAAGCAGGCUCCACGCUGUCAUCACAGAGCCCAAUUCGGGGCUCGAACUCAUGGACCGUGAGAUCACAACCUGAGCCAAGAUUAAGAGUCACAUGCUUAACCCACUGACCUGCAUAGGUGCCCUCUACCCUUCCUCUUUCUUGAGCACAUCACAACUACAGGUGGACAAUUAAUAGUGGCCAUUUGCUUCCAGGGAUGGAUUUCUCUUCUGCCCACAUGGAUGCCUAAUGCUCAAACUGUCUGAUUUCUCUGUCUCCACAGGUUAUUUAUGCAUAACAUUGCUUCCUGUUUGCAUCGAACAGUCUCGCUUUGGACACUUCCUGAAACUUUAUUAAAAAUUGACUUUUCGAUGUGGCUCUGAG
rnacentral:lncRNA from 1 species